ACUCCUACGGGAGGCAGCAGUGAGGAAUAUUGGUCAAUGGACGAGAGUCUGAACCAGCCAAGUCGCGUGAAGGAAGACGGUUCUAUGAAUUGUAAACUUCUUUUGUGCAGGAAUAAAGUGGGUUACGUGUAACCUUUUGUAUGUACUGUACGAAUAAGGAUCGGCUAACUCCGUGCCAGCAGCCGCGGUAAUACGGAGGAUCCGAGCGUUAUCCGGAUUUAUUGGGUUUAAAGGGUGCGUAGGUGGAUUGAUAAGUCAGCGGUGAAAGUUUGCAGCUUAACUGUAAAAUUGCCGUUGAAACUGUCGGUCUUGAGUGCAAAUGAGGUAGGCGGAAUGUGUUGUGUAGCGGUGAAAUGCUUAGAUAUAACACAGAACUCCGAUUGCGAAGGCAGCUUACUGGGAUGCAACUGACACUGAUGCACGAAAGCGUGGGUAUCAAACAGGAUUAGAUACCCUGGUAGUC
rnacentral:rRNA from 1 species